rnacentral:rRNA from 1 species
UUNNNNAUUAGGCAAUGUGGUGUUUAGGUCGUUCCGCAGAGACACUGCUCCACUCUAAGUCCAUUAAUGAGUACGGUUGUACUGACAUGGCCCAUGGAGGGUGAAAGGCCCGUGAGAGUGGAGUCUUGGCAUGACAGUGUCUCUCUGGAUUGACCUUGGAGUCGGGUUGUUUGGGAAUGCAGCCCUAAGCGGUUGGUAAACUCCAUCCAAGGCUAAAUACAAGCACGAGUUCUAUAGCGAACAAGUUCCGCUAGGGAAAGUUGAAAAGUACCUUUGAAGAGAGAGUAAGCAGUGCGUGAAACCGCUUAGAGGUAAACGGGUGGAGUUGAACUGCAAUCUCUGAGAAUUCAGCUGGGGAAUUUUGCUUGAGCUUGGUCAAUUGGGCAGGGCCUCGGGGUAUGCUUAUCUGCAUGUUCUGAUCUUCGGGUCGGAAUGCGCGUUGCUCUUAUCAAGGGCUGUGCGCCCCGGGUGUCCGGCUGGCUCAUUCGCCAGUGCACUUUCUUGGAGUGAUCACCACGACCGGCGCUGCUGCUGGGCUGUUAUUGUUAAACCGGGUAUUCAUCGUCCUUGUGGCGUUGGGUGCACGACACGGCAGGUAACUGGGUUCUUGCUUCGGCUUGUUUCUUGGUGUAUGUCGGCUUUAACGGUUCUAUGCGGUGUGUCGGAGACGGCGGCUUGUGGUGUGUGCAUGCGUGUCUAUCUGUUGGUGCAUUCUGGUUUGGUAGCUGUGUGGUUGUUCGACAGGCCCAGUUAUGGUUGGAGUGUAUCAGUGGGUGGUUGCGUGUGUGGCACUUUUCAGGGCCAAUAGUCUG